UAACUAAGUUUCUUUUUGCAACCUUUUCGCGUUUUCGUUUAGCGGAGCCGGAGAGAGGUGGGCAACCGGAGUAGUCCUUGACAAUGGGUUGGAAUAGAGGGUCGAGCGCGGUGGUGGCGGCGCGUCGGUACGGUGAGGAGGGCGGCCGCCGCGGCGGCGACGGCGAGAGGAGAGUGGCGGAGCCGGAGGGGAAGGAGUGUGAGGGGAGCGGGCGGCCGGCGGGGGAGGCGGCGCCCCUGGAGCGGUAGGCGUACCCGCCGCCCGGCGCGUGCAAGGGCCCGCCGCAGAGGUUCACCGUCACCUUCGCGUACGUCCGGGCCUUCCGCUUCGUCGAGGAGUUCCGGGCGGAGCGGGCGCUCGCGGUCGAGAUGCUCUACGCGUUCGCGCGGCUCGAGGCGCUGCGGCAGCAGGUGGAGCUCGCCGGGACCCUGGGGCUGAGCCGGGGGCAGAGGCGGCGGCGCGACCGCGGGUUGGAGGAGAGGCAGCGGCGGCUGCUGGUCGAGUCCCCGGAGCGGCUGGCGAAGGUGGCUGGGCCGCCGCAGCUGGAGACCUUGCUGGCGCUGCCCGGGGUCCAGAAGCGCAGGGGCCCGUGCCCGUGCCGGAGGCGCGCGAAGAAGGGGUCCCUGCGGCAGGUGUCGCAGGUCGGGAUGCGGGCGGAGCCGCGGCCGCGGCCCCGUCCUCGGCUCCCGCGCGUCCCACAAGCCCCCUUACUGCGACACCUCCUGCGCAUACCAAUGUCGCUCGGACGUCAGGUUGACUACCUUUCUCUACCCUACACCCUCGGCCACUAACGAAACCUUCCACCCCUACUUCUGUUAAGCUCCCAGUCCUCAACCUAAGUACUACUACUACUACGAUAAAGACUAAGUCUCUUGCUGCUUCUCCUAGAACUAAAACCUGUGGUUGCUGCUCGUCAGCAUUCUGCUCUACCUUCCCCCUCGCCACUUUGACGUUCGUGAUACGCACAACCUUCACUCUCCCCGUCCGUUACCUCUCCAGUACCAAGGAAAAGUCUAAGUCUUCCGCGUUCUUUUCCAGGACUAGUUUCUACCAGUCUGUCUUCAUCACUCUCGUCUUCCUUCGGAGGGCGGCGUUCUACCUUCGGAACCUUGCGGCUCCCGUCAUUGCGGUAACCCUUCCUGGCUUAUCCACCCCCAAGAAAGAGGCUCAGCCUCCACUCGGCGGCACCAAAACUCGGUUUUAGUUCUCGUUCCUUAUCUCUCCUGUGUUACCUGCGGCACCACUUCACCUUCGAGAGCAUGCUAUGGGUACCGUUACACUAUGCUUUCCAAGCGCAACCACCACUUAAACUAAGGUUAAGUCUGUUACCUUCCCUACUGUUUGACCUUGGUUUUACCUCUCGGGGCUUAUCCAGAUCAGGUUCACUCUUGGCUUCUCCAGCUCGUCCCGACUUUGUAUCUGGAUUCCGGUUGUCACCGCUUUCCGGUCCUCCUAUGUGCUCCCCAGUGUUACGACUACUUUCCCCAGUUAAACCAUUGCCGAAACGGAGCCUGAACCUCCUCGGCUGUACCUUCGGUUCUUUUUUCUUGCUUCGAUCCUUGUCGUUACCGUCGUCUCUCAUGUUGCCACUAUACUUUUCAUCUAAGUCCUCACCACCUUCACCCCGACGUUCUGCCGAUCUAUUAUGAGCAGGACACUACUUGCGGUUGUCUCUUCUACCUCCUCCCGCCGCCAGCUCCCCGCUACCUAUGAGUGAUGCUGGUUGUAGCCUUAACGUGUCGAGCUACCUGGCCUUGCCCCCUGCCGUUAAGUCUCCUCUGCCUAUAAGUGAGGCUGGUUGUAGUCUUGAAUCUAUUUUACAUGACAUACAAUUCUCAUUUCGAUUACAUCAGACACACGCACGAUUGAUUACAUACUGGUCUGCAGUUUAUAUUGCAUGAACAUACCUCCUAAACGAAGCAAGUCGAGCACACUAUAAACGAUAAGAACGACUCACUCACGGAUAGUUCCUUAUGGUCCUUGAAAAGGUAUGAUGUAUAGGUCGAAAAAACGGUUUACUAAACCUAAGUCGGCCUUGUAGGCUUCGUCGAGUGACGAUAUAAGUCUUUGGACUACUUACACAUAGAUAGACUAUAGAAAAGACUCACACUAGGUUAGACCUGGGACAAAUAGGAACUUCGACGUGGUAGGGACGUCUUAAAACCUCAUACCGUACAACGAAAGAGAAGAAAAUUAAAUAAGUCUUCGACACUGAGUAAGAUCAUACCGUACAAAGGUUUUAUAAGCCGUAGUUAUUGUAUGGUAUGACGUAGAGGUCAAAAAGACGGUUUACCAUUCAAUUGAACGUGCGUGGUGUACUUAAAGAAGACGUAGAUGUGUAGUAUACAAGAAGGGAUUAAAAUAGACGGGUAGCACAAAAAGAACGACGUCUAAACCUGGGUCAAAUGGGAACUUUAACGUGAUAGGGACAUCUUAAAACCUAAUACCGAACAAUGGAAGAGAAGAAAAUUAAACAAGUCUUAGAGUCUCCGACACUGAAUAAGAUCAUACAGGACAAAGGUUUUAUAAGCUGUAGUUGUUGUAUGGUCCGUCAACUAGACUAAAAAUUAGUGAGUGGUUUGAGAUUAGAUAGUGUCAAUAAUCUUCAUCACGACAUUAAAGUAUACUUAGGAUAUUCUUAUAAGUGCACAACAUAAAAUGGAUUCUAAAUCAAGUAACGAUUAAGGAGGUUUGUGAGAGAUGUCCCAGGAUUUGGAUAUAAACUAACUUUAACAACAAUGUAACAGGACGUACCUAGACCACCGUUCUAAUUAACUGUACACCAUAGAUAAAAGAAACGGGAACGUACUUCAAUAGAGCUAGAGCCGUAAAUACAGACUCUUGAGGGCUCCUAUAACGGCUCUUCUGGUUGCACCACACCCUCGGUAGGUUCCUAAAAUUCGUGGACUUGAACUUCAAAGAGGUCUACUAGCCCAAGAACCUCCUUCUGUUCCACUGUUGGAUAUAUUCCGAACAGUACCUUGCUCGACACCCCAACUUCUUUUAGCUCGACGUUCCAAUGGCGGGUACGUCCCCGAUGUUACGGAGGCUGGGAUUGUCCUUUAGGGUCCACCUACUUCGAUCGUCCGCAGCCUAAUUCCUCGCUGAGCUCGUACCUAGGAGGAGUAGACACCUCUAUCAUUAGACAACUGUCCAUACCAGUUCCUUAAAUUCAAAGUCUUGCUAGCGUCCACGAUCUAGCUGAUGACACACGUCAGUCAAUAUUAAAAUUAAAAGUCAAUAACUAUCCGGAACUCAUGAACUAACCAGACUUGCAGUGUUACAUCGAUCUAAUACACGGAUGAGGUUAGACCCUAGUACCAAAAGAGAAAGUUAAAUGGCUCAUUAACGGAUGGGUAGUGACUUUAAGAGUUGAACGACUCCGAGAGAAAAGUCUUGUAGUUGGUCGUAAACUGACUUUUAACACGUCUAAUUAAGUCAAGACGAAGUCAGCUUGAUAAGGGUUGUACGGUUGUAUAACCUUUACUGGCCGUCAUCUUGCCCCAUCGUUCGGAAGCUGUUGUAUAACCUUUACCGGCCGUCAAACCAGGUUGUAUAUCAAUGUAUGUCGUAGUCAGCUUGAUAAGGGUUGAUACCGUUGUACGUAAGUCGUCUCUAUGCGUCGUUCACGUCUACUGGCGGGUUCUUAUUAUGAUCAUGUCAUGUAGUCUCAGACGUAAAGUGGUGGCCUGACGGUAGUGUUUGAGGUAAUAAUUUCGAGUUUUUUAGUUAUCAUAUACUUAGCUGAUUUCAGCGCAUUUUUCCUGCAUAGUUCUUUACCUAGUACAUCUUCUCGAACACGCUACCAUAGAUCAAGAGAGUUUCCUUUAGACUCUUAAGAGGUCGACCUUGUAUGGUCAGAAAAUAAGGUAGUAUACGACAAUAAGGGAGACAUUUCUUUAUAUUCUCGC
rnacentral:rRNA from 1 species